rnacentral:lncRNA from 10 species
CUGAAGAGCUGGUCUCACUCCCACUGUGCCACCUCCAACAGCACAGAGUCUGUUUCCAGGCAGCAGGCAAGCAGGGCUUGAGAACUUUCCCCAGGCUACCCGCCUCCCAGCUGUGAAAGAAAAGGACUUUAGUUCUUCCCCCACCUGUGGAAUCUGCUGGCUGGAUUCAUGCCCUCCAGCAAGUUCUGGCCAGGAGGCUUCUCACCUGGUUCAAAUUGUUACAAAGUUCAGCUGGAGACUUCCUUCUCCCUGUGGCAUUUUCCCCAUACCUCUGGACACCCUCCUGAAGGAUCCCUGUGGUGCCAGGCAUGAAUGGCCUGCUUGGGGACCCAAUGAGUUCCCAGGACCCUUCCUGCUGCUUCUUCUACCCUUGUAUUUUGCUUGGCUGUCUAAAUUGACUCAGCUCCAGGAUCCCUUCGUUUGAGGUAGGAUAUGGAAUCGCAUCCACUCUGAUUUGUUGCCAGCAGUGUUCUCCAACUUAAUUAUCCUCUGUGAUCCACACUAAAGUAUUUUGAAGAAUAACAAAGCUCUCCAAGGGUCUUAAUACAGUUCUGGAGGUCAGUAAGUCCAAUAUCAAGGUGCCAGCAUCAGGCAUUAUGGCCAGCACACUUCCUGCGAAUUUGUACCACCACCCCUUAUCUCAUCUAUGCUUCUGCUCACAGCACUGCACUGGAGCCAGGGGAUGGAUACCUGGCACUUGUAUGUCCUAUGAAGAAAGAGAGGAGGAUACAUUGCUUCCCUAUGUAUCCUUAAGGGAUAGACCAGAGGAAAAGUUAAGUAAUAGAUAAACAAUCAAUAAUACCUAAUUGGUUUCCCAAUCAAUUAGCACUUACUGUGUUGGAUUUGUUCACUUUCAGCCAUAGUUACACCUUGAAUUUCUGUAUUUCCAAAGUGGGCUCUUUUUUUUCUAAGGAAUUUCCUCAAUUUUUUCGUGUAAGUAGGCUUCUGAGGAGUCUAUUUCACUGAUUUUUGUGAUAUAUUUAAUCAUUCCAGGGCUACAAAAUUUAAGCUGAAUUUAAAUUAUUCAUAAUAUAACAAUCUCUCUUCCUCUGUCUCUCUUUCUUUCUAUAUCUUUCAUUACAUAUAUGUAAUAAAAUAUUUUCAUUAUAUAUCUGUAUAUCUUUUAUAGAAAUCUUUUCAUUAUAUAUUUCAUAUAUAUUCAUGUAUCUUUCAUACAUU